UAAAAGUCGAUCCCAUUUUUUUCAAAUAAAAAUGGUUUCGACAAAAGUAUUUGUGUAUGUAAAUAUAUAUUUGCUAAUGAAUAAAUGAUUCAUGAUAAUACACUAUGAUUAGAUUUGUGAAAGUUUAGAAUUAUGUUUUUGUACUAUAAUACCUUGUAAUCCUAGUCCGGCAACGGAUACGAGUUAGGGGCGUUACACAUACCACUAUGGUCUUUGGACAUUUAACAAGGAAUAGUUGUACCCUUAAACUUUCUUGGCUAAGGACAUACACGUUGUAAACGGGCCAAUUUGCCCGAGCCCACGUUAGAACCAAAAUACAAAAUAAAGAAACAAAAAAACCAAUAAUUAAUUAAAUGUCCUGUUAUAGUCCAAAUUAAAUGUCCUGUUAUAGUCCAAAGCCCAAAAUUAAUUCAAGACCUUAAAACCCAAAUAACCCCAAAUUAAAGACCCAAAUAUCCUACAGCAAAAUACCCAAUCCCAAUUACAUGACCCUAUAACUAAUACCCUAGCCCAUUUACAAAACAAUCCAAAGCCUCAAGGCCCAAAUGGCCCAAAAACUAAAACUGCUUCAGCAACCCUAGGUCACCCCUCCCUUCUUUGCGUUGUAGUCGAGGCCCUAGCGCCAUACGCUCCGUAUCGUCAGCAGCCACGCCCGCGCCAGCACAGCCUCCGUACGAUGCCAAUGCAUACCCCGUACCUGCUAGUAAGCCAAAACAACAGCAGCAACACGAAAACAAAAGGAAAAAUUGUAUUUUUUACUUUUUUUUGGAACAUUCGGCUAUAAAAGCCUACUAUCUUUGAUUGUAAAGUUUUUUUCAGAGGAAUACACGCACAUUUUUGCAUAUUGAAUACAAAGAAAAUAAAUCAAAACCUUGAAAAGGUGAUUAUUCGGCUUUGGACCUUCUUUCCUGUUUGUUUUCAUCUUCUUUUCUUAUUGUUUGGUUGCACAUACUGUUAUUUCGAGCAUAAAAAGGGGUAAAAGGGAGCAAAGGGGUUACCUAUACGCAUGAACCGCCGGAAUCCUCGUCUCCUUCACUUUAAUCGAAGUCGGGAUGAGGUGUAAGGGCUGAAAUCGGAAGUCCUUAAAGCAAGGACCCAAGCAGGGUCGGCGAGAGUACAAAUCUCCCUCCGUCGAUCACCGUUCGGGGUGGUCAAGUGGCGGCUAGGACCUCUUGAGAUUCAAACAGAAGGAGGGGAUUAGGUUUCGGCUGAGGAGAAAGGAUUGGGGGGCUAGGGUUUGAAUGAUUGUUUCAGUUUCAGCUCUUUUAAAGGGACAAAUACGACGCCGUUUCGAGCCUGUUUCAGUGGCUCAAAAACGACGUCGUUUGGUAAGAGCCCCGACCCGAUCCAGUUUGCUGUCCCAAGGACCCACGCAUUUUUUCGGUAAGGG
rnacentral:lncRNA from 1 species